GUGCUCACUUUGGCAGCACAUAAAAUUGGAAUGAUACAGAGAACAUUAGCAUGGCCCCUGUGCAAGGAUGACACGUAAAUUCGUGAAGUGUUCCAUAUUUUU
ensembl:snRNA U6 spliceosomal RNA